rnacentral:lncRNA from 1 species
GGAAGGGGCCUGAUGCAGGGAGUGAGGAGCAGGACGGUGAGGGUGGGAAGGAGCCUGAGGCAGGGAGUGAGGAGCAGGACGGUGAGGGUGGGAAGGAGCCUGAUGCAGGGAGUGAGGAGCAGGCGUGAGGGUGGGAAGGAGCCUGAUGUUUGCAUGGGCUGCCAGGCUUCUGGUUCAUACAGCCCCAGGUCAGUUUCCAGAACCCUCACUCUUGGG